UACGUAGGGCGCAAGCGUUAUCCGGAAUUAUUGGGCGUAAAGAGCUCGUAGGCGGUUUGUCGCGUCUGCCGUGAAAGUCCGGGGCUCAACUCCGGAUCUGCGGUGGGUACGGGCAGACUAGAGUGAUGUAGGGGAGACUGGGAUUCCUGGUGUAGCGGUGAAAUGCGCAGAUAUCAGGAGGAACACCGAUGGCGAAGGCAGGUCUCUGGGCUGUAACUGACGCUGAGGAGCGAAAGCGUGGGUAGCGAACAGG
rnacentral:rRNA from 1 species